GUACAAUAGAGCUUAUAGGCUAAUGAGAAGACAGGAAGAAACAACAGGAACACAUAUAGCUGGAAUGCAGAUGGGAUCUGUGCUACUUACGCUAGCCAUGGGAUGAUUAGAACAAGAUAAGAGACAUGAGGAAGACUUCUUCAAGGAGGUGCUCAAGCCAUGUUUUGGAAAAGAGAACUCAAGGUCUGGCAGGGAGAAAGGAGCAAGAGUAGACUUUGAGUCUUUGCUUCAGAUGCAGAUCAAGAUGUGGCAACCUGUUGUGGAGAACUGGGUCCCUUGAGCCUGUGCUGUCUCUUUUUUUCUGGUGGCUUUGUCAUUUGGAACAAUGCAUAAUGGGCUGGAGGCUGAGAAACUCUGAGCUGAGGAAGACUGAAGAAACCUAAUCCUAGGUGCUGCCACUGGGACAAACAAGAAGCACCAGACACAGUGCUGUUUUAGGGUGGGGCAGAAUUAUGCUGAGGGAAAAGUUAUUAUCACUCUUUAAGGCCAAGGAAACCACAAUUUUUAAAGAAGCUUCUAGAAAUUCUACCCAGUAGAAAAUAAAGAUAAACUUCUGUAAGGAAUUUCAUUCUUUUCAGAAUUCGCAAUCUGAAAUGUAGAAGCCCAUUCCUUCAUGGUUCUCAUAGAUAUUUAGUGUGACUGAGGGGUCAGUGGACUCAUAGCACUCAGGCCAGGCUUCUCCUGAGUCCCUUUCUUUGGCACAGAGGGAGUGAUUCACAGAUCCUCUACCCCCAAAGGCAUUGUUUCCUCAUCUCAACAAGAAUCCAGCACCCGUCAUUUUAUCAGCACACGUCACUAGCUUCUCAAGUGAGACUACUCUGAAGUGAUCUGUGUUUGAAGAAUGCCUUUCCCUUUCCCUUACGUAACUAAGAGGAUGAAAAAGGACACUCACUCCCUAUAUGAAAGCUGUGUAUUGUAAGCAGUCAUCUUGCCUGGCUGAGAACUCUAGGAUCUUUUUCUCUGCUCUCCUUUAGGCUGACACUCAUAGCCAGACCUUCUGUUUAUUAGCCCCCUGAAUCUAUUUGAAAAUAUUUUUGCUUUCAUUAUAAUAUAAGUCACAUUCUUCUUGCAUCUGCCGCUGCAUUUUCCAAAAGGGUUAUGUCAAGGGAAAUUCAACACUCACUUUUCUCAUUAUUUGCUUACCAGCUUGCUCACUCAUCAAAAUACCAGAGUUAUUUGAUACUUCAGAAGAUUAUUUCCCCCUUUAGAUGAUGUGUCAAGGGAAGGGGAGCUGGCCCCAGUAUCAGGUGACAGAAUUUUCUUCGCAUUUCUACUGUUGACUCAAUAAAUGCCCUUGGGCAAGUCAUGGA
rnacentral:lncRNA from 1 species